rnacentral:rRNA from 1 species
UAAGGGAUAUUGCACAAUGGGCGCAAGCCUGAUGCAGCAACGCCGCGUGCCCGAUGAAGGCCUUCGGGUCGUAAAGGGCUUUUCUGGCUGAAGAGAAGGGACAGUAAGCCAGGAAUAAGUGUCGGCUAACUACGUGCCAGCAGCCGCGGUAAAACGUAGGACGCAAGCGUUAUCCGGAGUUACUGGGCGUAAAGCGUGGGCAGGCGGUGGCCAAAGUCGGACGUGAAAGCUCCCGGCUCAACCGGGAGAGGCCGUUCGAAACUGGGUCACUGGAGGGCAGUAGAGGUGCGUGGAAUUCCGGGUGGAGUGGUGAAAUGCGUAGAGAUCCGGAGGAACACCAGAGGCGAAGGCGGCGCACUGGGCUGUACCUGACGCUGAUCCACGAAAGCCAGGGGAGCGAACGGGAUUAGAAACCCCGGUAGUCCUGGCCGUAAACGAUGUCAACUGGGUGUCGGGUCCGCGAAGGGUUCGGCGCCGAAGCUAACGCGCUAAGUUGACCGCCUGGGGAGUACGGCCGCAACGG